UACGUAGGGUGCAAGCGUUAUCCGGAAUUAUUGGGCGUAAAGAGCUCGUAGGCGGUUUGUCGCGUCUGCUGUGAAAACCCGAGGCUCAACCUCGGGCCUGCAGUGGGUACGGGCAGACUAGAGUGCGGUAGGGGAGAUUGGAAUUCCUGGUGUAGCGGUGGAAUGCGCAGAUAUCAGGAGGAACACCGAUGGCGAAGGCAGAUCUCUGGGCCGUAACUGGACGCUGAGGAGCGAAAAGCAUGGGGAGCGAACAGG
rnacentral:rRNA from 1 species